AUUAAUGGUAACAGAGGACCUAUGCGGGUAUAUCUCAACUUGCUGGGGGGUAAAGUUUGGAGGAUAGACAGGUCCCUCAUUGUCUCCCUCUUGAGCACAGAGCCUUUUCCUUUAUCAGUUCCCUUGUUCAACCAUUGAGUUAUCUGAGCCAUCAUACUCCCUUGAGAUUCCAUCAUUUUGUCUAUCAUUUUUUGCUGCUCAUUCAUUUGUUGUUGAAGCUGCUCCUGCAUUUCCUUUUGGAACUGUUCUAG
rnacentral:lncRNA from 1 species